AUUCUUUAUCUAUCCAAUAAAUCU
rnacentral:siRNA from 1 species